GCUGGGUGCGGUGGCACGUGCUUGUAGUCCCACCUACUCGGGAGACUGAGGCUGGAGGAUCUCUUGAGUCCAGGAGUUUUGGGCUAUAGUGCACUAUGCCGAUUGGGUUUCUGCACUAAGUUUGGCAUCAAUAUGGUGACCUCCUGGGAGCGGGGGACUACCAGGUUGCCUAAGGAGGGGUGAACUGACCCAGGUUGGAAAUGGAGCAGGUCAAAACUCCCGUGCUGAUCAGUAGUGGGAUCGCACCUGUGAAAGCCACUGCACUCCAGCCUGGGCAACAUAGCAAGACGCCGUCUCU
rnacentral:SRP_RNA from 1 species